GGCAGCAGCCUCCCCCCGCAGGGCCGUCACCAUGCUGGAGUAGCGUCGCCUCACACCCUCGGCCUCGCUCACACUCACGCCCACACGCUCCAGACCGUUCUCCAGUCCAAUGAGCUCCUGGGCGGGGAAGAAAUCAAGUUGAAGAGCUCCUGGAUGCUCGCCUGCUCAAGCUGUGCCCUGUCUGACGUUGCCUCUCCCAGCAGUAUCUUUAGGUUCUGCAGCCGCUCCUCUCGCUAAGGGAAAGAAAAAGAAUGGCCCCCCCUGCGCUGCUGCUGCCCCGAGCCUUCCCCCCGCCACUCCCUGCACUCCCUCGCUGCAGCAGCACUCGCUCGACGCUCCGCUCGCUGCCCUGGGGAAGAAAAAAUGGAAGAAUUGAGUCUGGUUAAGGUAUUGUGCCAUGAGGUGGCCAGGCAGACUCACCUGGCUGGCUUCCUGUAUUCUGAUGUGAAGGAGCUUAAUGUCCGAUCGCAGGCUUGUGAUGGCUGCCUUGUUGGUCCUCUUCUCCGCCUCGCUCUCCUCAUAGAAGGCCUUGCUCUCCCCCUCUGUCGACGGUCAUCACAUGGGGUCCCGAUGACGCCCCCGCGAAGGGCUCCACCUUCCACUUGUCUAAACUGUCGUACCGCCUCAGCCGGGCACGUGGUGAUAAAUUUCAAGGCUCACCUGAAUCUCUAGCAGUCACUUGGGUUUCAUUAUUUCCUUUAUA